rnacentral:lncRNA from 1 species
ACGACGAACGGGUGGAUGCUGUGCGCCAGAUUGAAUUGUUGCGUCAUGGGACUUGUUCCGAGGUGAGAAAUCUGGACUAUUGGUUGCAGAGAGUAUAUCGCGAGUUUGUGUCAAAAACGCGGGGCGGCGAUGUCCCUGUGCAGUGCCGAAAACAGUUGGAAACAUUGCGAACGGUGUUUUGAGAGACCGUGUGUCCUUACAUACACCCCCUCCCAUGCAGAAGAUUUACAGCUCUCCCCGUUUCGUGCCGCCACGGCACUGAGAGGGAGCGUACCGGGCCUUACCAUCUAAGGCCAUAGGCAAGAGGGUGGAGGGAAGUGUUACACGUGCGAGCAAUGUGGUGACUACGAUUUUGGAUUCCAGUAAGUCGCGUGACAAGCUGAGCCUCACUCGUGUGAUACAUGGUUUGUGCUGACCCAAUUGGUGUAUAUUGAUGUACAGGUCAGCAGAGAUGGUGUGUCUCUUAAGGGCAGAGCAGCUUGUUUGGGGGUCGGUUCACAGUUUCGACAGAUUGCCAACUCAUUGCUGGAUAUUCAAGACAGCCACCUGUAUUGUUGCUGUGGGGCGCUCUGUUGCUGAGACACGCGGGUCGCCAAUCCACACGGAAGUGUCAUGGUUUACAUGGGCCCAGGCGUGCAACGUUUUGUCUCAGUGUUUGGUUGCAUGGGCAGAAUACCAGGGGCAACUUCAUGGGCCAUGUGCAGCGCAAUGGCUCGCCUACAGGGCCGCGAGG